rnacentral:rRNA from 1 species
AUGGCGACUACGGUGGACAGUGGCCGUGGCGCCGUGUCAGACAUGACAAGCAUGGAGUCGGGGACGAGCGACCCCGUCGGCGGCACGACGAGCGACACCGUCGGCGAACUAGUUGCGGUGCUCGCGCAAAGACAGUCGACAGAGGAGGAGAAUGCAGUGCCCACGCCAUGGGCCCACUCGGUUGCGCUCGGCUCGGCCUGGCUCACGAGAAACUGCCGAUUCCUGGGUUUCCAGCGAGCCAUGCUCUGGGCUGCUUUAAGAAGCAUGCGAUGCAGGCCCAACAGUGAAACCAGGCAACCAAACGGGCCUCUUGCUUCCCGCGCGGGCCUGGUUGGGCUUUACCCAGGCAACCAAACACGCCCCUAUGGGGCUUGCGGGCGUUCGGACACGAGCCACACAGGACUCCGAAAACCCAGGCCCACCCAAAACUACGACGGCGCCCACGUUUUUGCAGCUGGCCGCACUGUUUUCGCGGCAAAAUCCCCCACUCUCUUCUUCCAUCCUGCCACACUCCACUCAAAUUCUUGCCCUUUUUCGUCCACUCUCUUAUUCCUUCCCACCGCUAACGCAUGGACCCGCAUGAGACCCUGCCGGAGACGGAGGUGGUGGAGGAUCCGGGGAUCGCGCUUGUCCGGAAGAUCAAUUCGGCGUCACGGUGAAAUCGCCGCGUCAAAGCGAAGGCCGCAAAGGCGGCAACGCUCAAGAAGUAGAAGGCCGCGCGGAGGCAUAUGUGGUGGUCGUGGUGGCGGACAUGGUGGAGGUCGAGGCCUGGGCCUCGGGGACCCUCCAUCCUCGCCGACCGUGCAGACAACGCCAUGGCCGGACCAUUACAAGGCCCGUACUACUAUGCCACCAAGCAUCUGGGAGGCAGCCCUCGGCAUCCACUGCCAGGCAACUGCCCUUCAUCGUCGACGUCAACCCGGUGCCGCUGUUUUUGUCGAAGUGUUCGUCACCGUAGCUUGUCAAGACUCGUGCGUCGGGCGUGGAGGAGCUAGGUGCCCGCACGCUGUUCGCUGGGUACCACCUGGAAAGCCCAUAUGGUGGUGGGGGUCUCGUAUAUGUCGAUCCGAUCUAGACCGAAUUGGACUUAAUGAGUUUAGGAUAUCGAACUUCCAGGCUUACAAUCUUGCUAAGCAUAUUUUAACUCGCGGGUUUGGCAUGCAUACAAUUCAGAUUCAGCACGGGGUGGGGGCUAGAGGCGAGUGCAUGGAACGGUGGCUCAGCCGGCGGGAAGGAGUGAGUGGGACAUAUGAGCUGGUUGUUUCUUCCUCCGGGCUCCUGAUGGGAUGGCCCAGCCCCAACAACGGGAUGACUCGAAGCGAACCGGACACCGAGCCAAGCACGUCCGAGGAAGCGCGCCAGGAGCACGAUCCAUGCGCCGACACCAGUCGCCGCACCGCAACCCCCCUCCGCGCCACCGCGUACCGCACUUCGGUGUUGCCACCAUCCACGGGCAGUGACGCGGCCGGCGGCCAGUUGCGCGCAGCCCCCUCCCACGAUCUGCCACCGUGCGAGGAGGGCCCUGCACCAGCGCCAAUGCCGCAAGAACAGGAUGUCUCGUCCUCCCUGAAGGACUUGCUCAACACCGCGACACUGGACGGAUCGCCCCCUCCGCGCUACCCUGUGUUGCACUUUGACAUGCCCACCAUCGACGGGCGAGAGAUGGUUUCCGUCGAUUCGAGCGGGAUUGCCCGUUCCUGUGUGGAGGAAGGCCCGGUGAUCUUUGUGGACCAAGUGGAUGGGAAGAACCACAUCGCGAGGGACCGCCGUCUUCCCGGCGAACCGUUUGAAAGCGUCACUCAACUCAUCCAAUCAGCCGGUCUCCAGUUGCUCGCAGCUUUCGCCCAUCUGCCUCUAGAGCGAAAUGACAAGUUGUUAUUUUCUGUUAGCUUGGCCACACCUGCUGAUUCAGCCUGCUUGUUCCAUUUCAGGUGUGAGGGGCACCAGCAGGGAGGGGGCACUGCAUCUUCAGAAACAGCUCUUCCGGAACCCCAGCAUCUCCACGCCGAAGCCUCACUUUAUCUGUUGUAUGACAAUCGCUGCAUCUCCCUCCCAGUCUUAUCUAAUUGUUUGGUUUAUCAUGUGGAAUGUGGAUUGAUUGAUUGGAUGCCUGGGCUAGUUAGGCGUGAGGAGGAGCCUGUGGCUGAGACUGCAUCAGCACAUUCAGCCCAGAUGCUGCAACCCAUCACACCGACAUCCUCGGCCUCUGUUCAGGCCGAUGCAGCGGUAACUCAGGAGGACACCGUUCAUGUCUUGCCGCCACUUCUGCGUUUUCUUUCAUCGUCACCCAUUUGGGGCUUGCGCCGGGGGGACUGGGGAUACGCAUUCUUCUACAUCAGGAUUGAUCUCAAGGGAUCUUUCCACACGUUCAUGGAUCAACCUGGGAUGUCUCAAGUGGAUAAAGUCGUACGCCAAUGUCUCUACUGGCCUGAUGGCACAAGGAAGAAGUUGAUUGAUGAAAGGCGUGACUGGAUGCGCCAAUUGGAUCCCACAUACGAACUCAAAGAUGUAGUGUGCUUCGAGUCUGUUCAUGGGCCCAAUGACCAUACUAGGCUGUACCAUCAUAUUAAUUUCACUGCAAAGACUAAAGGAGCCGAUGAUGAUUCUAACUGUGGCAUCGAGGAUCUAUUCUUCGCUGAACUCAUGUGGGAGCGAGGUGAACGUAUAGAAUUGGUGGUCAGCUGUUUCUGCGUGCUUAAACCAACCGACAACGGUCGCUGCGAUGCUUGUGAUGCGAAGCACCCCAAUGAUGCCGCAUACACUCAUCAAAUAAGCCCAUUGGGUGAAUAUGCUAAGCUUGGUAACAUUGUGUAUGUGGGCUAUGACGAAGACUUGAAGGAGGAGGAAGAAAGAGUAAGACGUUACUACGAGUCACCAAUUAAUUGGCAUUCCCACGGUUGGCACGACAGCACCGGCGCAAUCCAAACAAACCCCCUCCUCCGAAAGUGGUCAAGGAUUACGACCAUCUCCUACUCGUCGAGCCACCGUGGCUGCAGUCGCCGGUUCCCCGUCCCCGCAUCACCGUCCGACAACAUGCCACCCCCUCCUCCGGGUAGUCGCGGGCGCGGGCGCGGCCGCGGGGUCGGAUCCCCCGUCGCCAACCCCGUGGCAACCAGUCUCGGCACUCGCGGCCACCACCUUCCGCUCCACCCCGUACUGCACUUUGAUGUCCCCAUCAUCAACGGGCGAGUGAUCGUUUCCGUCGAUUCGCAUGGGCUACUCGCCGCCGCAGCCCGUUCCGGCUUGGACGACGGGCCGAUGGUCUUCGUAGACAUAGACAUGGACGGGAACUUCCUCACGGACCAUCGUGUUCCCGGCGAGCCCCUCGAAAGCAAUCCGCGCCGCCACGGGCGCACCAGAGUUGCAGCCGCCGGCCGCCCACCUCGUCGGCAGCCGCCGCCCCGGCGCGCCACCACCUGCUUGGCCCGCUGUGACAUGCUGCGCUCUGCACUGGCACUUGCAGCGCAAAAUCAGGCGUUCGAGCGUGUCGGCAUCGCCAUCGAGAGCACUCCGCCGUCGACCACACCCAGCCUCCAAACGAACUGUUGCGGCGGCUUCGGGAUUCCAUUGGGCUGCGUUAUGCGUACAUACACGAAGCGGACGCCGCCUAAUCCCGCGAGGCCGAGCUUCAGCGAGCCCUCGCACAUGACCGCUCCGUCGAGUACGAUCUCUUGCGCGCCGCGCCCCAUCCCGCUUCGGCAAGGCCGAGCUCCAGCGCGCCCGCGCCCCUGCCCGCUCGGCGCGGCCGAGCUCGAUUUGAUCGGGAGGUCGAGCGCCAGACCUCGCCGUCGCCUCCAGCAGCUUCGCAUCAACACCCCGGUGCCGCAUGGCAUCUUUAUGACGAGCCCUGCAACCUCCUACUACUUCCCGUCGUCGCCCUGCUCCGGCAGCAGCCGCCGCGCCCCAAGCCAUCGUCCUCGAUUUCCCCUGCCACCUCUGCGUCGACUACAAGCUCCUGGUGAGCUCCUCCUUCCCCUUCUCCCGCUCUCCUGUGUCUCUUGGCAAGCACCAGUGGCUGGGACGACGCCGGCGAGGGCACCGGUGUGUGAGAAGGAGGAGGAAGAUCAUGUGGCCGAGCCUGCGUGCGCACGAACAAUGCAAGAGCAGGACCUCUCGUCCUUGGAGGACCUGCUCAACGCUACAACAUUGGAGGAAUCGGCGUCCUAG